CUAAGAGACAUAGCCAGGUCCAGAGCUACGGAACCUCCUCUAUCGUGUACCGAUGGGAAAAGAAGCUGAGGGGCGUGAAGGAUCCACCAGAGAGUUCUUUAGUCCGAAGUGGGUACCUGCACUUCAGGCAAUCUGGCGCCUGCAGUGCUCACAGAGCAAUUUUAUCUGUUUCUUCUGACUCCAAGACACCACGUCCAAUAACAGGAUGCUCCAGUUCAGAGGAUACUCA